GGUAUUUUUUCAUAUUUAUAUAAUUUUUCCUCUAACUGAAUACAAUCUAUUUGUGUAUGAUUGUCAGUCCAAAGAGGGAGAGAUGAAAAAGGGGAAGGAGAGGAAAGAGUGCAAAGUCAGGAAGAACCAGGAAGAGAACAAGGAGAGACUCUGGGAGAUGAGAGCAUGCAGACCAGGGAAAGAAAUGCUGUGCAUCACAUUUCAAAUAAAAGUCAAAAAAUAAGUCCUAGGUA